rnacentral:pre_miRNA from 1 species
AGAUUUUUGUGAAAGUCAAACAUUGCCAACUUUGACCAAGUGUAUAGAGAAAACUGUCUACAUCUACAAUACCAAACAUGUUUCUGAAAAUAUAAUCCACGAUGUAUCCAAUGAUGUGCAUUUGAUAUUCUAGAUGUACAUACUUUUCUCUAUAAACAUGGUCAAAGUUUGUAAUGUUUGACUUUUGUAAAAAUUUA